rnacentral:rRNA from 1 species
UGGAGUGAUUUGUCUGGUUAAUUCCGAUAACGAACGAGACCCCCGCCUAUUAACUAGUUUUACUAUUGCUUGCAAUGGUUGAACUUCUUAGAGGGACUUUUGGUGUUUUAGCCAAAGGAAGUUGGGGGCAAUAACAGGUCUGUGAUGCCCUUAGAUGUCCUGGGCCGCACGCGCGCUACACUGACAUGUUCAACAAGUUUCUCCUAGUUCGACAGGACUGGGAAAUCUUUGAACGCAUGUCGUGAUAGGGAUAGAUCAUUGCAAUUAUUGAUCUUGAACGAGGAAUUCCUAGUAAACGCGAGUCAUCAGCUCGCAUUGAUUACGUCCCUGCCCUUUGUACACACCGCCCGUCGCACCUACCGAUUGAAUGUUUCGGUGAAGAUUCCGGAUAGGACUGAUUUGAUUUAUUUCAUUUCUGACCUAAAAGCUAUCUAAACCUCAACAUUUAGAGGAAGGUGAAGUCGUAACAAGGUUUCCGUAG